ACAUGCUUACAUUUUGAACCAUCAAUAAAGAAAUCUACCUCCAAACUAUACUAUUACAAGUAAGUUUCAUGAGCUAUUCAGAUUUUAUCGACUUUAGAAGACAUUCUCAAGAUUAAAGAAAAUUAUUUUACUAAGCAAUAUUUCUUGAAUUUAAAAGGGUCUCAGAGAAAGAGGAUAUUCUGGGGCACUUUAGCAAAACACCUUCUUGUUCUGUAUUUUAAAUUAUUUAUUUGGUUGUACAUUUCCUCCACUAAACCAGGAGCUCCUUGAGGUCAGUGGAAUGGAAUGAAAAACACAUGGACUUUGGUGUGAUUUGACCAUGUGUUUAACUACUGGCUAUGUGACCUUGGGCAAGUUAUUUAACUUUCUGAGCUUUGUUUUUGUUUAAUCUGUGAAACCUCCUGGAAAUUGUUCUGCAUAAACCUGCCGCAUAUGAGACAUAUGGCUGUCCUGUGGGAGAGCUGGAGGAGGAAUCGGACUCAUUGGCAGUCACAAAGGAGGGCUACCCAUACCCGGGUCCCAGGACAUUGGAGGCAGGUGACUAUAGUUUUUCAUACUGGAGUGGAGGGGGAGAGCUUUUUCAUACUAAAUGGGGAGAUUUUUUUUCCCUUGAAUCCUCUGCUUUUAUCUUUUUGCAUUUGCGAACUUCAUUUGUAUAAAACUUGA
rnacentral:lncRNA from 1 species